rnacentral:lncRNA from 1 species
GUCACUCAGGUAGAACAGUCUCAAAUCGCACCGGCCGGGACCAGGCAGCCAAGAAACGCGGAGACAGACUACUGGGACUGCGACGUCUCCUCUCCUGUUCGCUGCGAUAUGCCGGCGUCGUGUUGAGCGGGCUGCGGACACAGACAGCCUGCCCGGCCCCACUGAGUGUUUGAUCCCCAUCCUCGCAGCUCUCUAGAGGACCAGAGUUGGCGGUGCAGCCCAGCGGAGCUUCGAAGCGACAUGUCCUCCAACAUUUUAGCCCAGCAAGUCUUGUGGCCCCUGAGGAUAUAACCCAGAGAGGGCUGCUUUCUGGGAUUUCUCGGCUGUGGUUCAAGUGGAGUACACACAGUUGAGACCCUGUCUGCCCUGGGCAGCUUUCUUGACCCUUGGGGGACCAGCUCACAAUAAAUCCUAGGCUUCUGUUGCUCCUUGCUGCCUAUCCAUAAGCAAUAAACCUGCUUCAGCUCAUUCACUCAUGGGUAAUUUUUGUAUAGCUAUUAUAAAAGGGGUAAUAUGUAAUGCUAAAUACUCCAGUAACAAUCAUGGGGUUCCAUUAAGUAUAAAUUGUGUGCAUGGGUGUUGUAUAUCACUGGACUCAAGUUGAUAACCAGUGUACAGUGAAACUGAUUAACACUGAGUAGUACCUGGAAGGAAUAAAGAAUAGGUAGCGGCCGGGCACAGUGGCUCAUGCCUGGAAUCCCAGCACAUUGGGAGGGAUCACCUGAGGUCAGGAGUUCAAGACCAACCUGGCCAACAUGGUGAAACCCCGUCUCUACUAAAAAUUAGCCAGGCGUGGUGGCACACACCUGUAUUCCCAGCAACUCGGGAGGCUGAGGCAGAAGAAUCGCUUGAACCCAGGAGGCAGAGGUUGCAGUGAGCCGAGAUCAUACCACUGCACUCCAGCCUCGGUGAGAAAGCAAGACUCUGUAUUCAAAAAAACAAAACAAAAUAAAAAAAGAGUAAGUAGGUAGGUCCAGAGACUAAACAUAGUGAUAUCUUGUGGCAGAAAGAUGAAUACCCAUCACCUGUUUAGAAAGGCUUUUGCCUUAUCCACUUACUUGUAGAGUCAUCAUACAGGAGAUUGAUAGUGAUAGGAGGCAGGUAAAUUUUUAGGCAGACAGGGAUGGGUCCCUGGUGAAACUCAACCUUCGAGCUAAGGAUAGUCUGAAGCCUGAAAACCAAGCUACAAGUUCUGGCUAAAUCCACAAACCAGAUUUAGAGAUCCCAUUCCUGUUUGGCAUGCUCUUUCCUGAUUGGUCUUUAUCCUUCAGCUAUUUUUUUAUAAUAUA